rnacentral:rRNA from 1 species
UACGUAGGAUGCAAGCGUUGUCCGGAAUUAUUGGGCGUAAAGAGCGAGCAGGCGGUCUGGAAAGUUGGACGUGAAAUUUUAGGGCUUAACCCUAAAGGGGCGUCCAAAACUCCCAGACUAGAGUGCAGGAGAGGAAAGCGGAAUUCCCGGUGUAGUGGUGAAAUGCGUAGAGAUGUGGAGGAACACCGAUGGCGAAGGCAGCCCCCUGGGUCAAGAUUGACGCUCAUGCACGAAAGCGUGGGGAGCAAACAGG